AUUGAACGCUGGCGGCAGGCUUAACACAUGCCAGUCGAGCGGUAACAGAGAGAAGCUUGCUUCUCUGCUGACGAGCGGCGGACGGGUGAGUAAUGCCUAGGAAUCUGCCUAGUAGUGGGGGAUAACUUGCCGAAAGGUAAGCUAAUACCGCAUACGUCCUACGGGAGAAAGGAGGGGACCUUCGGGCCUUUCGCUAUUAGAUGAGCCUAGGUCGGAUUAGUUAGUUGGUGAGGUAAUGGCUCACCAAGACCGCGAUCCGUAACUGGUCUGAGAGGAUGAUCAGUCACACUGGAACUGAGACACGGUCCAGACUCCUACGGGAGGCAGCAGUGGGGAAUAUUGGACAAUGGGGGGAACCCUGAUCCAGCCAUGCCGCGUGUGUGAAGAAGGUCUUAGGAUUGUAAAGCACUUUAAGUUGGGAGGAAGAGCAGUUAACUAAUAUUUGACUGUUUUGACGUUACCGACAGAAUAAGCACCAGCUAACUUCGUG
rnacentral:rRNA from 1 species